ACGAACGCUGGCGGCGUGCUUCACACAUGCCAGUCGAACGGAAAGGCCCUGCUUUUGUGGGGUGCUCGAGUGGCGAACGGGUGAGUAACACGUGAGUGACCUGCCCUUGACUUUGGGAUAACUUCAGGAAACUGGGGCUAAUACCGGAUAGGAGCUCCUGCUGCAUGGUGGGGGUUGGAAAGUUUCGGCGGUUGGGGAUGGACUCGCGGCUUAUCAGCUUGUUGGUGGGGUAGUGGCUUACCAAGGCUUUGACGGGUAGCCGGCCUGAGAGGGUGACCGGCCACAUUGGGACUGAGAUACGGCCCAGACUCCUACGGGAGGCAGCAGUGGGGAAUAUUGCACAAUGGGCGGAAGCCUGAUGCAGCAACGCCGCGUGCGGGAUGACGGCCUUCGGGUUGUAAACCGCUUUCGCCUGUGACGAAGCGUGAGUGACGGUAAUGGGUAAAGAAGCACCGGCUAACUACGUG
rnacentral:rRNA from 1 species